ACGAGGGUCAAUCCACCCCACUCUCCAAGCGCCUCUCCUCUUGCUGCCAAGCCCAGGAUCCGAGGUUGAGUGCGGUUUGUAAGAUUAUAGUGCUCGCUCUCAUUUAAAGGGCUGUCAGCAUUUCCAUUCUCCGGCCCCUUUCGGAGAGGCAUUUAUAACCGAGCCAUAAAAAAUUCACCCAGGCUGCAACUUGGCUUCUCGGAGGCUGCGCUCCAGGCAGGGCGGGUUUUGCAAGCACCCACUCUGAAAUGGUUUGGUUCCUAAGAAGUUAGACCUUCAGACACACUCUCAACUUUCCUCGCAAGGGCAGCCAGAGAGCGGCUGGCCCAUGCUGAUCUCCGAGCUGGUCACAGUCUCUGGAGCCCGCCCUCCUCGUCCCCGUGCCCUUGCAGCCCCAUCACCCUUCCGCUUUCUUCUUCCCUCCCUCUUCAAAUAGCGCGGGCCCCUUCCUCUCACCCUAAGACCUCCCCGUAAGACCUCCCCGGCUGCAGUGUCAUCUACUCCCUCGCCUUGCGCCAGCAUUCUCCUUGGAAACUGUCAGUUGGCCCUGCGUCUGGAACCCUUCACCCCUGAAGAGGCACUGCUCUUCGCUCAUCACAGGGGCCCUCAAGCCCUCUCUCCCUAGACCUGUCCAAAGCCACGGACCCCCAACUCAGAGGGUGGAGGAUCCGAUCCAGGAGAUGGGGAAGGCAGACUGCAACCAAGGCGACCAAGGGGAAAGGAAGGGUCUGGCGCGUCUGGGGGCCCUUCUGCGGGACCCAGUCCAUCAAAGCUGCAGCCCUGCCUCAUCUACAAAGAGCCUCAAAGGUCCUGCCUGAUCUUGGCCAAGAUCCGCUUCUUCCUGAAGGACCUGUUGCAUGGACACGACUGCCCUCCACGAUCCCAAGUGUCAGGAAACGGCCACCUGAGUUGUUCAGGCCACUGCCGAUUGUACCCAAGUACUGCUUCAGCAAUAUGUGAACCA